UAGUCAUAAGUGAGGUUGACGAACAAGAAAAUCGCCCGGGGCAGAGGAGAAGCCGUCGCAGGUGGUGAAGGCGACAGCGACGAAGAAGAAGUGAGCUUUGUUGAUUCACUCACUUUCAAAAUCAAGACUUUGUCUGAAUCUAGAUACCCAUUCGAACUCGUGUAUUGCAAAUUUGCAGGUAAAUCCAUAGCUCCAAAAAGCAUAUUAUAAUUAGAUUCUACAGAAAAAAACGCAUCAAAUCCAAGCGAGUUUUCAGCUUGAUCUCACGAAGACCAUGAGAUCAAGAAUGGUUCGCUGCCUCGAAAAUCGUCUUUGGUUCUCUCAUCCAUUGUCAUCAUCAGACCCUAUCAUCAUCAUACAAUCCUCGUUCUCCAAUCUCUUUGCUGGCGAAGCCGAUGGAUUUUGAGGUCGGAGGUCGAUGCCGUCAAAAAUUUUCAGCAUGCCAAACUGGCCCUGUUUUGUCAGUUUUGAUGAUUCCAAGUUCAAACAUAGAACAAAAGUACUGCUUCUUGUAGAAUAUUCGGACUGUACGUAGGGGAAGAUUUCAUAAACAUGCUCAGAUUUUGGGGCUAAUUGAUUCUGAUUUACUUCUAAAUUCCUUCAUUUCUUUGAGAAACAGAAAAUGAAUUACAUUCCCAAAGCUAUGGGCAUUAGGCUGAUCCUGAGAAAGCUUGUUUUUUCCAUCACAGAUUCCUAACAAUAUCACGUAUAUAACUAUAACUAUAAUGUAGGCUAGUUUUUACAAAGGCACAUUGUUUAUAUUUAUAAAUUACGCGGCUUCUUAUGAUUUAUGUUAUAUAUAUAGAUGUGUAGAUAGAUAUAAAACCAAUCAACAAUAUAUACAUAUGAGGAGGACUUUGUGUCUUUAGAUCUUUGAGCUCAGUAAAAUUUGUCUACUUGGCUGUUUUCCACCUAGUCCUUUUCUUGUUCUACUUUUCAACCCUUGAAUGCACGAGGUGGCCGUUCAAUUUCACAAUGAUAAUCUAAAAUGCCCAUGAUUUCAACCCAGAAAAGGAUAAUGGAUAAACAUAUAUGUAUAAUGGGAUGUGAUUAAGCAAGCAAAUGGUUAUUCAUAUAUAUAAAAGAUCUCAUCCAAAUGUUCUUUUCCAGUGAAAAUCCGGUAAACACAAACCAAAAGCAUAGGAUGAUUUAUAGUGCCAUACAAAAAA